rnacentral:rRNA from 1 species
UACAGAGGGUGCGAGCGUUGUUCGGAAUUAUUGGGCGUAAAGGGCGCGUAGGCGGUGCGGUAAGUCACCUGUGAAAUCUCCUGGCUCAACUGGGAGCUUGCAGGCGAAACUGCCGUGCUGGAGUGUGGGAGAGGUGCGUGGAAUUCCUGGUGUAGCGGUGAAAUGCGCAGAUAUCAGGAGGAACACCAAUUGCGAAGGCAGCUCGCUGGGACGUAACUGACGCUGAGACGCGAAAGCGUGGGGAGCAAACAGG